rnacentral:rRNA from 1 species
CGUGCUAAUCUGCGAUAAGCGCCGGUAAGGUGAUAUGAACCGUUAUAACCGGCGAUACCCGAAUGGGGAAACCCAGUGUGACUCGUCACACUAUCAUUAACUGAAUCCAUAGGUUAAUGAGGCGAACCGGGGGAACUGAAACAUCUAAGUACCCCGAGGAAAAGAAAUCAACCGAGAUUCCCCCAGUAGCGGCGAGCGAACGGGGAGGAGCCCAGAGCCUGAAUCAGCAUGUGUGUUAGUGGAAGCGUCUGGAAAGGCGCGCGAUACAGGGUGACAGCCCCGUACACAAAAGCGCAUGUGCUGUGAGCUCGAUGAGUAGGGCGGGACACGUGGUAUCCUGUCUGAAUAUGGGGGGACCAUCCUCCAAGGCUAAAUACUCCUGACUGACCGAUAGUGAACCAGUACCGUGAGGGAAAGGCGAAAAGAACCCCGGCGAGGGGAGUGAAAAAGAACCUGAAACCGUGUACGUACAAGCAGUGGGAGCACAGGUUUACCUGUGUGACUGCGUACCUUUUGUAUAAUGGGUCAGCGACUUAUAUUCUGUAGCAAGGUUAACCGAAUAGGGGAGCCGGAGGGAAACCGAGUCUUAAUUGGGCGUUAAGUUGCAGGGUAUAGACCCGAAACCCGGUGAUCUAGCCAUGGGCAGGUUGAAGGUUGGGUAACACUAACUGGAGGACCGAACCGACUAAUGUUGAAAAAUUAGCGGAUGACCUGUGGCUGGGGGUGAAAGGCCAAUCAAACCGGGAGAUAGCUGGUUCUCCCCGAAAGCUAUUUAGGUAGCGCCUCGUGAAUUCAUCUCCGGGGGUAGAGCACUGUUUCGGCUAGGGGGCCAUCCCGGCUUACCAACCCGAUGCAAACUGCGAAUACCGGAGAAUGUUAUCACGGGAGACACACGGCGGGUGCUAACGUCCGUCGUGAAGAGGGAAACAACCCAGACCGCCAGCUAAGGUCCCAAAGUCAUGGUUAAGUGGGAAACGAUGUGGGAAGGCCCAGACAGCCAGGAUGUUGGCUUAGAAGCAGCCAUCAUUUAAAGAAAGCGUAAUAGCUCACUGGUCGAGUCGGCCUGCGCGGAAGAUGUAACGGGGCUAAACCAU